rnacentral:ncRNA from 4 species
UAGGUGAACCUGCGGAAGGAUCAUUAAC